GCAGCGGGCCGUCUCAUCGUUCUCUUCUGAGCGAAAUCGAAGAGGGGGAAGGAAAGUCCGGUCAACACAGAGCACCAUGCUUCCUAACGGGAAGAUAUCCGUGAGGGUAUAGUAGUGUAACAGAAAAUAACCGCCCUGAGCGUUGUCGAAGGGAAAGGGUGAAAAGGUGAGGUAAGAGNNGGUUGAAAGACCAUGUAUACCGGCAAUAAGGGCUGCUCGUCCGAUGCCGGGGGGUAGGUCGUAUGAUCCCUGCAGUGAUGGAGGGACAAGAUAAAUGAUGGGAACCGGUUUUUAUUUCUCGCGAAGAAGAUAAAACCGUACAGAAACCGGCUUACAGGCCAGCUGCAAAA
rnacentral:RNase_P_RNA from 1 species